ACUCCCGUUGCAUGCUGGGACUGUAGUUGAUCGCCUGCGAUCAACGGCCGGAAGCGGCUAAAACUACUCCUGCCUGCAUACCCCGCAGGAGCAAAGCGCGCCAUGUCUCCCUCCAGGGAUCCGCACCGCUCACAAUCCUGUUGAGUGCUGGGAUUGUAGUCCUGCGAGCCUACGACUAAUAGCUGGGUGCGGAUAAGAGACCACAGCUCCCCCCAUUCCCAGCAAAGGUCCCUCCUCCACCGAGCUCCUCCAGGCUUCCAGUGCAGUUCCGCCGUGCGGUGGGAAGCUUGGCUGUUCACAAACCUCUCCUGCCCGCGAGGAGACAGCUUGGCCAGGGCGGCUGAUCUCACCUUGUCAUUGUGACACGGUGUCUCCCCAACGUGCUGGCUUCAUGACUUGUGCCCAGAGUUUGAUUUUCCACAGACCAGGUAGAGGCCAAGAGCCUCUCACAGACUCUGCAGCAGGGUUUCUAUGAUUAACUCUUAAGUACUCCACAACUACACGCUUUUGAAACUGGCGUUGGCAUAGCGUUAGUUCUGUGCAGGGCGGACGCAGCAGGACAGAAUCUCCCUGGGCAUCUUUUCGGAGCAUCAAUUUUACUGCAAAAUUUUGAAAAAACAAAUUUAAUUGAUUUCCAAGGAAUGCAGAAAUAAGGAGGGACAGCUCUACCUAUGUUUGGAGUCCAUGAAUGUGUCAUCUUGCUGUGUUUGUAAAUAGAAAUUUAUUUCACAAAAUGACUCAACUGCUUCUUCACUAACAUGUUCAAAAACUUGCAAGAAGCAGCCAGGCAUGGUGGCUCACACCUGUAAUCCCAGCACUUUGGGAGACCCAGGCAGGAAGAUCACCUGAGGUUGGGAGUUCGAGACUAGCCUGACCAACAUGGAGAAGAAUCGUGUCUACUAAAAAUACAAAAUUAGCCAGGCACGGUGGCGCAUGCCUGUAGUCUCAGCUACCUGGGAGGCUGAGGCAGGAGAAUUGCUUGAACCCAAGAGGUGGAGGUUGUGGUGAGCCGAGAUCGCACCAUUGCACUCCAGCCUGGGCAACAAGAGCAAAAUUCCGUCUCAAAAAAAAAAAAAGAGAGAGAGAGAGAGAGAAAAGAAAAGAAAAACACUUGCAAGAAGCAAAACAAGAAUUGAGAAAGGGGAAAGAUGAUAUCUGAGAGUUGGAAGGUUGCACAUUUUCACAGAAAAGUAGAACGGAAUUGUAACAAGCACUCUGAUAGGAAAUCAUAGUUUAUGUCUCACAACUGUCCCUAAAAAAAUACAGUGGUUGGCAGAAAAGACAAGAAAUGAGAUAGACUAUAAAUUAACUGGAGAAGAGAAAAAAUAAUUCCCAGAAGUAAAUUGUCAACGAGUUUGAAAGCAGGUAAAAGGUUUGUCAAGGAGGACAGAAACUCAGAGCACCCUGCACUUGGGGAUCGGCACUAGGAGCUGCUCUCUGGAUGGGGAGAUGGGAGCUAGCAGCUCACAAUGGGGUCACAAGACAGGAGUGUUAUUGGGAUAAUCCUGUUUUGUUGACAAAUACUGAGAUCAUCCAACUCACCAGGCAAAGUUGACUUGUGUAAGUGAUCUUCAGAUACGAAAAGUGUGGAACCCAGCUGCUCCUCCUCAGAUAGGCGACAUGACAAUUGUAGGCCUGGAGGGAGAUGAGUUGACAACAUCCCUUCCCUAUAACCACUUGUUGGAUCUGAUCUCACAUACACAGACUCACUCCAAAGACUGACCUGGGUGUCUGCUUCUCAGCUUCAUUAACAGUGGGUGCUCACAAGUCUAGCCCCUGGCUUCCAUGCAUAGUGGAGAGAAUGUCUGAGAAGAGGAGGACCUUGACUGCUCCUGAACCGGAGACCUCAGAACCAUGGUGCUCUCCUGUCCAGGCUGAACACUAAUGCUCUUGAGAGUCAUAUUGAAGAAAGCCAACAUUUUUAAAUCUAAUGGAUACAUUCAUUUUGUGGUAUGUGAUGUUUAGAAAGAGGGAGCUAAAGUUAGUGGUCAUGAGCUAAAUACCCUGUGAGCAUCUUCACUCUCCUUCUGUAUCACAGACUAAAACCCACUGACUUGAUCAUCUGUCCCUUGCCCCUCGUCCACAUAGUGAACUUCUUCAUUGCACUGUUAUUGCAGUCUCCAAACCUGUUUGCAUCAUUGAACUUCAGAAUGACUUCAAGUUAGUAACAGGAUCUUCUACACUGUAGCUGCUUCCAGUGUGAGCCAGACAAAUGUACUGAAUAUAGGCCUCAGAGGUGAUCCCACCACCUUCACAGCAAUGGUCCUUCCCCAGGAGCUUCCCCUGAGAAAUGGGCCAUCCAGACCAUACUGCUGCUGUUACAUCGUUAAGAAGCUCAUUGUUGGCAGGGCGUGAUGGCUCACACCUGUAAUCCCAGCACUUUGGGAGGCAGAGGCUGGUGGAUCACCUGAGGUCAGGAGUUCAAGAUUAGCCUGACCAACACAGUGAAGCCCCGUUUCUACUAAAAAUACAAAAGUUAGCCGGACGUGGUGGCAGGCACCUGUAAUCCCAGCUACUUGGGAGGCUGAGGCAGGAGAAUUGCUUGAACCCGGGAGGCAGAGGUUGCAGUGAGGCAAGAUUGUGCCAGUGUACUCCAGCCUGGGUCACAAAAGCGAAACUCCAUCUC